CCUACGGGGGGCAGCAGUGAGGAAUAUUGGUCAAUGGGCGCGAGCCUGAACCAGCCAAGUCGCGUGAGGGAGGACGGCCCUACGGGUUGUAAACCUCUUUUGCCGGGGAGCAACGGGCGUCACGUGUGGCGUCACUGAGAGUACCCGGAGAAAAAGCAUCGGCUAACUCCGUGCCAGCAGCCGCGGUAAUACGGAGUAUGCGAGCGUUAUCCGGAUUGAUGGGGUUUAAAGGGUGCGUAGGCGGAUCGUUAAGUCAGUGGUCAAAUUGAGGGGCCCAACCCCUUCCCGCCAUUGUAACUGGCGAUCUUGAGUGGAAGAGAAGUAUGCGGAAUGCGUGGUGUAGCGGUGAAAUGCAUAGAUAUCACGCAGAACCCCGAUUGCGAAGGCAGCAUGCCGGCUUCCGACUGACGCUGAAGCACGAAAGCGUGGGGAUCGAACAGGAUUAGAUACCCUGUAGUC
rnacentral:rRNA from 1 species